CACACACCCAUAAUCACCCAAACACAUAGACACAAUCACAGAGCGACUCAAGCGGCCAGCAAACAAAAUUUUCUGUUUCUGUUCCUGGCCAAAAACAGAAAAGUUGUUUUCCUUCUUUUUUUUUGGUUAACAAUAAGUGGCAGAAAUAACAUUUCCUGCAGAGAAGUCCCAUAAAUGAUCUAUGCAAAAAACGGAGAGGAAACGAAUUCAAUUAAAGUGUGGAAAAUGAUGGGUCGAGCCAGAGACUAAUUGAAAAAUCAAGGCACACACCUGCGCACAUGUCUGUGAGAAGAGUGCUGCUGUGUGUCGUUGUGGGUGGGCUUGUGCCUUUUUUUUUGCAUGUGUAUGUGUGUUGAAGGCUAAAGCUGAAGCAGCAGCAGCAGCAGCAGGAGCAGGAGCGGCCAGGCCGAAAGAAGAGCCAACAAGUAAAGGCCCGAAAAAAGUCAGGCUGCCAGGCUAAUGACAACAUUGAAAAAUUGUCAGUUCAGUGAGAGCACGUGUAUGGAAAGUGGGCGGGAAAGCCAGGGAAAAGUGAAAGUAAAAACCAAAGGAAACACUCGAAUGUUUGGAGUACACUCAAUGUUUUGGGGCAUAAAUUGUUGCCUUCCUUGUGCCGUAUACAGUAUCUUAUCUUAAGUACUCUUUAGACAGUAUAAUUUAUCAAUAAUUUAGCUUGAAUUAGUAUAUACUUUUUGAUCGAUGGAUGGAUGUACAUAUGACCCCAAAGCCAGCUUAGUGGUCGGCAAAACUUCUUUUAGAUACUUAACACCUGACCACCUGACCGCCGGAUUCACAUCUAUCUAGAUAUUUUAUAGUUCUUAACUGUUGUUGCAGCCAAAUGAAAGACGGGUAAACCACAGUGAUAAAGACAAAGUGUUCAAGACAAAAAAAUGUUAUAAAUAAUCAUAGAUAUACAUACAUACUACAACAAACAACAACAAGAAAAAAACCAAAACAAAAACCAAAAAAUCAGUAAAUAAAUCAAACAAAUGGGAAUACUGAAAAUCGCUGAAUGGAAAAAUCAGAGCAAUUUUUGGGCCUUAACCACAGAAAAGAUGUCCAGUCAAAGAUGCGCACAAUUAGCUUAAACUGACACAAGGAUGACGAGGGACAAGGACGAUGCCUAAAACCACAGCCAGAAUUUACAGAAUUAAGCAAAUGGAUAAUCAGAUGAAUAACCAAACAGCGAACGGAUAAAACGGAUAAAACG
rnacentral:sRNA from 1 species